UGAAGCCUGGCAACUCACUUGCCCACUCUGUACCUUAGCAUCCUCACUGUGUGGCGGAGGGAAAAAUGCCCAGGGCACAUUCUUGCGGAGAGAGAAAAGGCAGUAGCAAAACAUCCGCACAUCGCGCCUGCUGCACUCAAUGAAGAUGGAGAAUUGAAGCACAGAGAGAUGUAAGCAUCCCAUCCAAAAAUCACACAGCUACGGUGCAGAGAUUUGGCUUCAGAGCACGUGCUCCAUUCCACCAAAAUGUGAUGCCUCCCUUUAGGAAGGCAGCAGAGACUCACUCAAUUACAAUAUCACUAUCAGUUCACAUUACAGGUCAGAGAUAUGGCGCUUAAUGUAUGUAGAGCCAGUCCUCCUCUCCUAAUAACCUGUCAUUCCGGGGAUUUGAAUGUCAGAACACAGCCUGCCGCGGUAAUGCUAGUCGGCAGCCCGAUGAUGAAAACUUUGGACAAAUCAUGAAGAACAUUCCAGAUCCACAUCGUCGGAAGGUUACCGGGGA